rnacentral:rRNA from 1 species
ACGGGGCCCGCACAAGCAGCGGAGCGUGUGGUUAAUUCGAUGCAACGCGAAGAACCUUACCAAGGCUUGACAUGCCAGAAGUAGGAACUCGAAAGAGAGACACCUGUAUCCAGUCAGGAACUGGCACAGGUGCUGCAUGGCUGUCGUCAGCUCGUGCCGUGAGGUGUUAGGUUAAGUCCUGCAACGAGCGCAACCCUCGUCGCUAGUUAAAUUUUCUAGCGAUACUGCCCGUAAAACGAGGAGGAAGGUGGGAUGACGUCAAGUCAGCAUGGCCCUUACGCCUUGGGCUACACACACGCUACAAUGGGUGAUACAACGGGUUGCGAGAGAGCGAUCUGGAGCUAAUCCCUAAAAUCAUCCUCAGUUCGGAUUGCAGGCUGAAACUGCCUGCAUGAAGUUGGAGUUGCUAGUAACCGCAGGUCAGCACACUGCGGUGAAUACGUUCUCGGGCCUU